GGGGACGUAGCUCAGCUGGGAGAGCGCAACGCUGGCAGUGUUGAGGUCGUCGGUUCGACCCCGAUCGUCUCCACCA
rnacentral:tRNA from 1 species